UAACAGUCACCACCUGUCACAGGAUCUUUUAAGACUGGUGGGUGCUAUUUCCUUUCUAGCCACUAGGAGGAGGCUAGAGGGCACAUGGUAUGGGAUAAAACAGGAAGCAUCAGAGUAAGUGCUAAGGUCUGUUUGAUGCUGCCAUAUGGUUGUUUGCUAACUAUCUUUCCAAUCCUGUUUGAGAAACUGAUUGUUUCCUGCUCAGACGUAAGUUAAAAUGUUUGUGUGAAAUGUUUGGGGGAACGGAUGGGGAAUCUAUUUAGUAAUUGAUGUGUAUGAUGGCAGGAUUGGAAAUAAUGAAUUGAUCGUUGUAUAACAAGUGUGUUUUGUGAUAUAUGGGGUUUUGGUGGAAAAGGAACAUUUAAAACUUUGAAUUAAAUGAAGAAAGUACCAUUGCA